AGACUAUGGUGUUCUUCCAAGUUUCUAGACCACUGAAAGUUCCUGAUGUCAGUGUUAAGUUGAAACAUUGAAAAUACACUUUCAGAUUGUGAAAAGUCAUCCUGAGCCAGCAUGGAAGUGGAGAAAGAGAUAGGAGGAGAACAACUGCAAAGAGCUCCAUAAUAAGAGAAUUUUCUGUUAUAUAGUCAGGGCAACUUCACAGGAAUGCAUCAAAUGGAUAAUUCAACCUGGACACUUCCUCUUGGAUUCCUACCUAGGAUAGUAUUAUGAGAGAACUGAGACUUAGAGUGAUUAGAAUUAAGAACAGAACUAAAAGGUGCCUGGAUGGGUAAAGCAGCCUAAAUUCUGAGCUCUGAAGCUGUGAAUUGAGGGCACAUGACAACAUCAUCACCAUCGUGGGGUGCUGGUGGAAGGGGGAACAACCUAGUUUUGGUGGCAUAGAAGAUUGGUGAGAGUAUGGGGAGAAUGUUCUUUGGAAUCCAAUAUAAAAUGAAAUAAUAAUAAUAAAGUGCUUGGCAUAGUUCCUGGAACA
rnacentral:lncRNA from 1 species